rnacentral:rRNA from 1 species
AAUGCAUCGGAACGUGCCCAGUCGUGGGGGAUAACGCAGCGAAAGCUGCGCUAAUACCGCAUACGAUCUAUGGAUGAAAGCGGGGGACCGUAAGGCCUCGCGCGGACGGAGCGGCCGAUGGCAGAUUAGGUAGUUGGUGGGGUAAGAGCCCACCAAGCCGACGAUCUGUAGCUGGUCUGAGAGGAUGAUCAGCCACACUGGGACUGAGACACGGCCCAGACUCCUACGGGAGGCAGCAGUGGGGAAUUUUGGACAAUGGGCGCAAGCCUGAUCCAGCCAUGCCGCGUGCAGGAUGAAGGCCUUCGGGUUGUAAACUGCUUUUGUACGGAACGAAAAGUCUCGGGAUAAUACCCUGGGACCAUGACGGUACCGUAAGAAUAAGCACCGGCUAACUACGUGCCAGCAGCCGCGGUAAUACGUAGGGUGCAAGCGUUAAUCGGAAUUACUGGGCGUAAAGCGUGCGCAGGCGGUUAUAUAAGACAGAUGUGAAAUCCCCGGGCUCAACCUGGGAACUGCAUUUGUGACUGUAUAGCUAGAGUACGGUAGAGGGGGAUGGAAUUCCGCGUGUAGCAGUGAAAUGCGUAGAUAUGCGGAGG